UACGGGGGGGGGCAAGCGUUUGUUCGGAAUUACUGGGCGUAAAGGGCUCGUAGGCGGCCAACUAAGUCGGACGUGAAAUCCCCAGGCUCAACCUGGGAACUGCGUCCGAUACUGGAUGGCUUGAAUUCGGGAGAGGGAUGCAGAAUUCCAGGUGUAGCGGUGAAAUGCGUAGAUAUCUGGAGGAACACCGGUGGCGAAGGCGGCAUCCUGGACCAACACUGACACUGAGGAGCGAAAGCCAGGGGAGCAAACGGG
rnacentral:rRNA from 1 species